UACCAGCUCUCCGAGUGGUAGGGAUGAUUAUUGGGCUUAAAGCGUCCGUAGCCGGCUUAGCAAGUCUCCUGUUAAAUUCAGCGACCUAAUCGUUGAGCCGCGGGAGAUACUACUAGGCUAGGAGGCGGGAGAGGUCAACGGUACUUCCGGGGUGGGGUGAAAUCCUAUAAUCCCGGGAGGACCACCAGUGGCGAAGGCUGUUGACUAGAACGCGCUCGACGGUGAGGGACGAAAGCUGGAGGAGCGAACCGGAUUAGAUACCCGGGUAGUCCCAGCUGUAAACGAUGCGAGCUAGGUGUUGGGGUGCUACGUGCCACUUCAGUGCCGCAGGGAAGCCAUUAAGCUCGCCGCCUGGGGAGUACGGCCGCAAGGCUAGAAACUUAAAGGAAUUGGGCGGGGAGCACCACAAGGCGUGAAGCUUGCGGUUC
rnacentral:rRNA from 1 species